CUUUCGCUCUAGGGCCGCGCGCUGCGGACCGAAGAAGAAAACACGCUGUGGAAAGGACUGGCUUCCUUGGAGGGACCUGGGAACAUGUACAAUAGUUAAAAAGCAAAUGAUUUUUAGGUGAGUCACUCUCCACUGUGAAGAGCAGUGACUCCAGGACAACUUGUUGGAACAAGGAGAAAGAUUAAUAGGAAGAUGGAAAGCAGACCAAGGAGGUUGGAGGCUGAUGCCAGCAGAGACCCCCUUGCAGGAUUCUACCACAGGAGUUACCGGGAGUUGGGAGACCCAACCAAUAGCACUAUCCAGUAGGUGGCCUGCUCUUCUGACACAUGGGCUGCUGCCAUCUUGCUGGUCAUUGGAUAGUCUGGG
rnacentral:lncRNA from 1 species